rnacentral:rRNA from 1 species
GGUUAAAAAGCUCGUAGUUGGAUUUCAGCUGAAGCAAACCGGUCCGCCCUCUGGGUGAGCAUCUGGUUUUGUUUUGGCAUAUGCUUAGACUUUGCAGCUGCACUUGACUGUGUGGUGUGAAGGCUGAGCCAUUUACUUUGAGGAAAUCAGAGUGUUUCAAGCAGGCCAUUGCCUUGAAUACACUAGCAUGGAAUAAUAUGAUAUGACUGUGGUUUUAUUUUGUUGGCUUUUAGAAUUAGAGUAAUGGUUAAUAGGGAUAGUUGGGGGCAUUCAUAUUUAACUGUCAGAGGUGAAAUUCUUGGAUUUGUUAAGGAUGAACGACUGCGAAAGCAUUUGCCAAGGAUGCUUUCAUUGAUCAAGAACGAAAGUUAGGGGAUCGAAGACGAUUAGAUACCGUCCUAGUCCUAACCAUAAACCAUGCCAACUAGAGAUUGGAGAUUGUUAUGUGCAUGACUCCUUCAGCACCUUAUGAUAAAUCAAAGUCUUUGGGUUCCGGGGGGAGUAUGGUCGCAAGGCUGAAACUUAAAGGAAUUGACGGAAGGGCACCACCAGGAGUGGAGCCUGCGGCUUAAUUUGACUCAACACGGGGAAACUUACCAGGUCCAGACAUAGUAAGGAUUGACAGAU